rnacentral:rRNA from 1 species
GACGAACGCUGGCGGCGUGCUUAACACAUGCAAGUCGAACGGAAAGGCCCUGAUUUUGUGGGGUGCUCGAGUGGCGAACGGGUGAGUAACACGUGAGUAACCUGCUCUUGAUUUUGGGAUAACUUCAGGAAACUGGGGCUACUCUCGGAUCGGAGCUCAUGCUGCAUGGUGGGGGUUGGAAAGUUUCGGCGGUUGGGGAUGGACGAGCGGCUUAUGGGCUUGUUGGUGGGGGAGUGGAUUGCCCAGGCUUUGACGGGUAGCCGGCCUGAGAGGGUGACCGGCCACAUGGGGACUGAGAGACGGCCCAGACGCGAACGGUAGGCAGAAGUGGGGAAUAUUGCACAAUGGGCGGGAGCCUGAUGCAGCAACGCCGCGUGCGGAAUGACGGCCUUCGGGUAGUGAACCGCUGUCGCCUGAUACGAAGCGUGAGUGACGGUAAUGGGUAAAGAAGCACCGGCUAACUACGUG